GUUUAGUUUUCUCUCUGCAAGGAGCAACAGCAAGAGCUAACACAUAAAUGACUCUAACUUGACUUAGAAGACAAGGCCAUUGGGAGUUUCAAGAAGAACCAUAUGGAAUGGUAAUAAUGUCCAACCACUAGACACUAACUCAACACUGUGGGAACCAUCAGCAGCAGGUACAGUGAAGGACAGCAGUCAUCAUGAUCGACCUGAGCUUCCUGUCAGAGGAGGAGCAGGAGACCGUUCUGUCUGUGUUGAAAAGAGAUGCUGAACUGAAGAAGACUGAGGAGCAGCGUGUCCAGAAUUUGCAGAAGACUGUGAGUGACAAAACCCAGCUGAGGUACCUGACUGGAGAAUGGUUCUAUGAGACCAAGCAACUUCGCCAUCCGGAUCGCAUCCAUGGCUCUGACAUCAUCAGGGCGUCUCUGAGGCACACACAUAAACCACUAACUCUAUUGGAACUGUCACAGAUAUUACCUGAGAAGUCCAGUUUUGUCUGCAGUGAAAAUAAAGAAGUAUUUGUCCCACCUGUACUCUGUGGACUCCUUCAGGAAUCUCACGUGCAGCUUAACAUUGAGGGGGACCAUAACCUGAACAAUUAUAAAUCCCAACAAGAUUCUGCAAAACCAGGUUUACAGUCACCUACAAAGAGAAAAAAUCCAUUCAACACUGAACUUGCUUUCAAUGAAAAGGAUGAUGAGUUGCUGGAUGGAACAGUAAAUCAAGGCCAGACACCAAAUGAGAGUAAGUUGUUAUACAAACAUCAUGUUGUGCUACUUUAAAUAUGUCCGUGUAGCAUGAGUAUAAACACAUCUCUACGCUGUGAUCUAACCAUGUAUCAUUUAUUUGUUAUGUUUUGAAUUGAGUGGACUUGACGGACAGAUUGUGUGAACAGUUAUUACAAACCAAUGUAAGUCUGGUUCUAGAAGUCUGUUUCCUGCUUCAGCCUUUGAUGUGAGCAGAA